UCUGUGAUGCCCUUAGAUGUUCUGGGCCGCACGCGCGCUACACUGACACAUUCAACAAGUUCUAUCCUGCCUCGGAAGAGGUGGGUAAUCUUAGGAAUGUGUGUCGUGAUGGGGAUAGAUCUUUGGAAUUAUAGAUCUUCAACGAGGAAUUCCUAGUAAGCAUAAGUCAUCAGCUUGUGCUGAUUACGUCCCUGCCCUUUGUACACACCGC
rnacentral:rRNA from 1 species